rnacentral:rRNA from 1 species
ACGAAAGUCUGACGGAGCAACGCCGCGUGAGUGAAGAAGGUUUUCGGAUCGUAAAGCUCUGUCUUUGAGGACGAAUGUGCUUAAUGUGAAUAAUGUUAAGUAAUGACGGUACUCGAGGAGGAAGCCACGGCUAACUACGUGCCAGCAGCCGCGGUAAUACGUAGGUGGCAAGCGUUGUCCAGAAUUAUUGGGCGUAAAGCGCGCGCAGGCGGGAUAUUAAGUCUGUUUUAAAAGUUCGGGGCUCAACCCCGUGAUGGAAUGGAAACUAAUAUUCUUGAGUGCAGGAGAGGAAAGUGGAAUUCCCAGUGUAGCGGUGAAAUGCGUAGAUAUUGGGAGGAACACCAGUGGCGAAGGCGACUUUCUGGACUGUGUCUGACGCUGAGGCGCGAAAGCCAGGGGAGUGAACGGGAUUAGAUACCCCGGUAAUCCUGGCCGUAAACGAUGGGUACUAGGUGUAGGAGGUAUCGACCCCUUCUGUGCCGGAGUUAACGCAAUAAGUACCCCGCCUGGGGAGUAC